GGGUUGUGAGGUUAAGCGACUAAGCGUACACGGUGGAUGCCCUGGCAGUCAGAGGCGAUGAAGGACGUGCUAAUCUGCGAUAAGCGCCGGUAAGGUGAUAUGAACCGUUAUAACCGGCGAUUUCCGAAUGGGGAAACCCAGUGUGACUCGUCACACUAUCAUUAACUGAAUCCAUAGGUUAAUGAGGCGAACCGGGGGAACUGAAACAUCUAAGUACCCCGAGGAAAAGAAAUCAACCGAGAUUCCCCCAGUAGCGGCGAGCGAACGGGGAGGAGCCCAGAGCCUGAAUCAGCAUGUGUGUUAGUGGAAGCGUCUGGAAAGGCGCGCGAUACAGGGUGACAGCCCCGUACACAAAAGCGCACAUGCUGUGAGCUCGAUGAGUAGGGCGGGACACGUGGUAUCCUGUCUGAAUAUGGGGGGACCAUCCUCCAAGGCUAAAUACUCCUGACUGACCGAUAGUGAACCAGUACCGUGAGGGAAAGGCGAAAAGAACCCCGGCGAGGGGAGUGAAAAAGAACCUGAAACCGUGUACGUACAAGCAGUGGGAGCACAGGUUUACCUGUGUGACUGCGUACCUUUUGUAUAAUGGGUCAGCGACUUAUAUUCUGUAGCAAGGUUAACCGAAUAGGGGAGCCGGAGGGAAACCGAGUCUUAAUUGGGCGUUAAGUUGCAGGGUAUAGACCCGAAACCCGGUGAUCUAGCCAUGGGCAGGUUGAAGGUUGGGUAACACUAACUGGAGGACCGAACCGACUAAUGUUGAAAAAUUAGCGGAUGACCUGUGGCUGGGGGUGAAAGGCCAAUCAAACCGGGAGAUAGCUGGUUCUCCCCGAAAGCUAUUUAGGUAGCGCCUCGUGAAUUCAUCUCCGGGGGUAGAGCACUGUUUCGGCUAGGGGGCCAUCCCGGCUUACCAACCCGAUGCAAACUGCGAAUACCGGAGAAUGUUAUCACGGGAGACACACGGCGGGUGCUAACGUCCGUCGUGAAGAGGGAAACAACCCAGACCGCCAGCUAAGGUCCCAAAGUCAUGGUUAAGUGGGAAACGAUGUGGGAAGGCCCAGACAGCCAGGAUGUUGGCUUAGAAGCAGCCAUCAUUUAAAGAAAGCGUAAUAGCUCACUGGUCGAGUCGGCCUGCGCGGAAGAUGUAACGGGGCUAAACCAUGCACCGAAGCUGCGGCAGCGACGCUGAUGCGUUGUUGGGUAGGGGAGCGUUCUGUAAGCCUGCGAAGGUGGCCUGUGAGGGUUGCUGGAGGUAUCAGAAGUGCGAAUGCUGACAUAAGUAACGAUAAAGCGGGUGAAAAGCCCGCUCGCCGGAAGACCAAGGGUUCCUGUCCAACGUUAAUCGGGGCAGGGUGAGUCGACCCCUAAGGCGAGGCCGAAAGGCGUAGUCGAUGGGAAACGGGUUAAUAUUCCCGUACUUGGUGUUACUGCGAAGGGGGGACGGAGAAGGCUAUGUUGGCCGGGCGACGGUUGUCCCGGUUUAAGCGUGUAGGUGUGUGUUCCAGGUAAAUCCGGUUCACUUUAACACUGAGGCGUGAUGACGAGGCACUACGGUGCUGAAGCAACAAAUGCCCUGCUUCCAGGAAAAGCCUCUAAGCAUCAGGUAACAUCAAAUCGUACCCCAAACCGACACAGGUGGUCAGGUAGAGAAUACCAAGGCGCUUGAGAGAACUCGGGUGAAGGAACUAGGCAAAAUGGUGCCGUAACUUCGGGAGAAGGCACGCUGACACGUAGGUGAAGUGAUUUACUCAUGGAGCUGAAGUCAGUCGAAGAUACCAGCUGGCUGCAACUGUUUAUUAAAAACACAGCACUGUGCAAACACGAAAGUGGACGUAUACGGUGUGACGCCUGCCCGGUGCCGGAAGGUUAAUUGAUGGGGUCAGCGCAAGCGAAGCUCCUGAUCGAAGCCCCGGUAAACGGCGGCCGUAACUAUAACGGUCCUAAGGUAGCGAAAUUCCUUGUCGGGUAAGUUCCGACCUGCACGAAUGGCGUAAUGAUGGCCAGGCUGUCUCCACCCGAGACUCAGUGAAAUUGAACUCGCUGUGAAGAUGCAGUGUACCCGCGGCAAGACGGAAAGACCCCGUGAACCUUUACUAUAGCUUGACACUGAACAUUGAGCCUUGAUGUGUAGGAUAGGUGGGAGGCUUUGAAGUGUGGACGCCAGUCUGCAUGGAGCCGGCCUUGAAAUACCACCCUUUAAUGUUUGAUGUUCUAACGUGGACCCGUGAUCCGGGUUGCGGACAGUGUCUGGUGGGUAGUUUGACUGGGGCGGUCUCCUCCUAAAGAGUAACGGAGGAGCACGAAGGUUGGCUAAUCCUGGUCGGACAUCAGGAGGUUAGUGCAAUGGCAUAAGCCAGCUUGACUGCGAGCGUGACGGCGCGAGCAGGUGCGAAAGCAGGUCAUAGUGAUCCGGUGGUUCUGAAUGGAAGGGCCAUCGCUCAACGGAUAAAAGGUACUCCGGGGAUAACAGGCUGAUACCGCCCAAGAGUUCAUAUCGACGGCGGUGUUUGGCACCUCGAUGUCGGCUCAUCACAUCCUGGGGCUGAAGUAGGUCCCAAGGGUAUGGCUGUUCGCCAUUUAAAGUGGUACGCGAGCUGGGUUUAGAACGUCGUGAGACAGUUCGGUCCCUAUCUGCCGUGGGCGCUGGAGAACUGAGGGGGGCUGCUCCUAGUACGAGAGGACCGGAGUGGACGCAUCACUGGUGUUCGGGUUGUCAUGCCAAUGGCACUGCCCGGUAGCUAAAUGCGGAAGAGAUAAGUGCUGAAAGCAUCUAAGCACGAAACUUGCCCCGAGAUGAGUUCUCCCUGAGACUUAAAGUCUCCUGAAGGAACGUUGAAGACGACGACGUUGAUAGGCCGGGUGUGUAAGCGCAGCGAUGCGUUGAGCUAACCGGUACUAAUGAACCGUGAGGCUUAACCUUACAACGCCGAAG
rnacentral:rRNA from 2 species